AUGGAGCCGACCUUGAAAUACCACCCUUUAAUGUUUGAUGUUCUAACGUUGACCCGUAAUCCGGGUUGCGGACAGUGUCUGGUGGGUAGUUUGACUGGGGCGGUCUCCUCCUAAAGAGUAACGGAGGAGCACGAAGGUUGGCUAAUCCUGGUCGGACAUCAGGAGGUUAGUGCAAUGGCAUAAGCCAGCUUGACUGCGAGCGUGACGGCGCGAGCAGGUGCGAAAGCAGGUCAUAGUGAUCCGGUGGUUCUGAAUGGAAGGGCCAUCGCUCAACGGAUAAAAGGUACUCCGGGGAUAACAGGCUGAUACCGCCCAAGAGUUCAUAUCGACGGCGGUGUUUGGCACCUCGAUGUCGGCUCAUCACAUCCUGGGGCUGAAGUAGGUCCCAAGGGUAUGGCUGUUCGCCAUUUAAAGUGGUACGCGAGCUGGGUUUAGAACGUCGUGAGACAGUUCGGUCCCUAUCUGCCGUGGGCGCUGGAGAACUGAGGGGGGCUGCUCCUAGUACGAGAGGACCGGAGUGGACGCAUCACUGGUGUUCGGGUUGUCAUGCCAAUGGCACUGCCCGGUAGCUAAAUGCGGAAGAGAUAAGUGCUGAAAGCAUCUAAGCACGAAACUUGCCCCGAGAUGAGUUCUCCCUGACUCCUUGAGAGUCCUGAAGGAACGUUGAAGACGACGAC
rnacentral:rRNA from 1 species